rnacentral:rRNA from 1 species
GCGGAAGGAUCAUUAUCGUUAACAAAAAGCGUAAGAGGCGCUCCAAGGGCUGUCGCCGACUCGAAAGGGUCGUUGCACGCCCGGAAGGGCGUCCUCUUGCGUGAAAUCCACCUCACCCCUUUUGUGCACCACCGCGUGGGCUUUCCUCCUCGAGGGGGCUCGCGUUUUUCACACAAACACCCUUUGUAAAUGUCUCGUAGAAUGUCCUCAUUUUGUUUGCGUUGACGCGCGAUCAAUACAACUUUCAACAACGGAUCUCUUGGCUCUCGCAUCGAUGAAGAACGCAGCGAAAUGCGAUACGUAAUGUGAAUUGCAGAAUUCAGUGAAUCAUCGAAUCUUUGAACGCACCUUGCGCCCCUUGGUAUUCCGAGGGGCACACCCGUUUGAGUGUCGUGAAAAUCUCAACCUCCUAGGUUUUCUUAGGAGGCUUGGACUUUGGAGGGCUUUGCUGGACUUUAAAAGGCCAGCUCCUCUCAAACGAAUUAGCGAGGUCCCCUUUGCCGAUCCUCGACGUGUGAUAAGACGCUUCCACGUCUCGGUCUUUGGCUCUGUCGCCUCUUGGGACCUGCUUCCAAUCGUCUCUCUACGAGACAACGUUCGAGCUCGCCUCGACCACGUACCCUUGACCUCAAA